UUUCCGUAGGUGAACCUGCGGAAGGAUCAUUAACAUGUCACCCAGUCAUGCUGCCGCGUGAACUGCACAAACCCACUCUGUGUACCUCUCCUGUUGCUUCCGCCGAGCCUGGAGCAUUUCAGAUGAGUUGUCUCACGCACAGUCAAUUGCUGUGUGGGGUUGGCAACUCUCGGUGACUGCUCUGGAUUCACAUGCCCAGCGGGAGGAUGCUUAAUUUCCGAUUUUACUAUGUCGUCUGUCUGAACUAUGAACCUAAAAAAAAAUUGUUAAAACUUUCAACAACGGAUCUCUUGGUUCUC
rnacentral:misc_RNA from 1 species